UACCAGCACCCCGAGUGGUCGGGACGUUUAUUGGGCCUAAAGCAUCCGUAGCCGGUUCUACAAGUCUUCCGUUAAAUCCACUGCUUAACAGAUGGGCUGCGGAAGAUACUAUAGAGCUAGGAGGCGGGAGAGGCAAGCGGUACUCGAUGGGUAGGGGUAAAAAUCCGUUGAUCCAUUGAAGACCACCAGUGGCGAAGGCGGCUUGCCAGAACGCGCUCGACGGUGAGGGAUGAAAGCUGGGGGAGCAAACCGG
rnacentral:rRNA from 1 species